rnacentral:rRNA from 1 species
GGAAUCUUGCGCAAUGGGCGAAAGCCUGACGCAGCAACGCCGCGUGGGGGAAGAAGGCCUUCGGGUUGUAAACCCCUUUCAGGAGGGAAGAAAAUGACGGUACCUCCAGAAGAAGCACCGGCCAACUACGUGCCAGCAGCCGCGGUAAUACGUAGGGUGCGAGCGUUAUCCGGAAUCAUUGGGCGUAAAGAGCUCGUAGGCGGUUUAGUAAGUCGGGUGUGAAAACUCAGGGCUUAACCCUGAGACGCCACUCGAUACUGCUAUGACUUGAGUACGGUAGGGGAGUGGGGAAUUCCUGGUGUAGCGGUGAAAUGCGCAGAUAUCAGGAGGAACACCAGUGGCGAAGGCGCCACUCUGGGCCGAAACUGACGCUGAGGAGCGAAAGCGUGGGUAGC